ACGGAAGGGGCAAGCGUUGUUCGGAAUCAUUGGGCGUAAAGGGCGCGUAGGUGGUCUUGUGUGUCUAUCGUGAAAGCACGCGGCUUAACCGCGUUAGGUCGGUAGAAACUGCAGGACUAGAGGCUGGGAGGGGCUGGUGGAAUUCCCUGUGUAGCGGUGAAAUGCGUAGAGAUGGGGGAGAACACUCGUGGCGAAGGCGGCCAGCUGGACCAGUUCUGACACUGAGGCGCGAUAGCGUGGGGAGCAGACAGGA
rnacentral:rRNA from 1 species